AGAGUUUGAUCAUGGCUCAGAUUGAACGCUGGCGGCAUGCUUUACACAUGCAAGUCGAACGGUAACAGGUCUUCGGAUGCUGACGAGUGGCGAACGGGUGAGUAAUACAUCGGAACGUGCCUAGUAGUGGGGGAUAACUACUCGAAAGAGUAGCUAAUACCGCAUGAGAUCUACGGAUGAAAGCAGGGGACCUUCGGGCCUUGUGCUACUAGAGCGGCUGAUGGCAGAUUAGGUAGUUGGUGGGGUAAAGGCUUACCAAGCCUGCGAUCUGUACCUGGUCUGAGAGGACGACCAGCCACACUGGGACUGAGACACGGCCCAGACUCCUACGGGAGGCAGCAGUGGGGAAUUUUGGACAAUGGGCGAAAGCCUGAUCCAGCAAUGCCGCGUGCAGGAUGAAGGCCCUCGGGUUGUAAACUGCUUUUGUACGGAACGAGAAGCCUGGGGCUAAUAUCCCCGGGUCAUGACGGUNCCGUAAGAAUAAGCACCGGCUAACUACNUGCCAGCAGCCGCGGUAAUACGUAGGGUGCAAGCGUUAAUCGGAAUUACUGGGCGUAAAGCGUGCGCAGGCGGUUUUGUAAGACAGUGGUGAAAUCCCCGGGCUCAACCUGGGAACUGCCAUUGUGACUGCAAGGCUAGAGUGCGGCAGAGGGGGAUGGAAUUCCGCGUGUAGCAGUGAAAUGCGUAGAUAUGCGGAGGAACACCGAUGGCGAAGGCAAUCCCCUGGGCCUGCACUGACGCUCAUGCACGAAAGCGUGGGGAGCAAACAGGAUUAGAUACCCUGGUAGUCCACGCCCUAAACGAUGUCAACUGGUUGUUGGGUCUUAACUGACUCAGUAACGAAGCUAACGCGUGAAGUUGACCGCCUGGGGAGUACGGCCGCAAGGUUGAAACUCAAAGGAA
rnacentral:rRNA from 1 species